AGUGAACGCUGGCGGUAGGCCUAACACAUGCAAGUCGAACGGCAGCACAGUAAGAGCUUGCUCUUACGGGUGGCGAGUGGCGGACGGGUGAGGAAUACAUCGGAAUCUACUUUUUCGUGGGGGAUAACGUAGGGAAACUUACGCUAAUACCGCAUAUGACCUACGGGUGAAAGCAGGGGAUCUUCGGACCUUGCGCGAUUGAAUGAGCCGAUGUCGGAUUAGCUAGUUGGCGGGGUAAAGGCCCACCAAGGCGACGAUCCGUAGCUGGUCUGAGAGGAUGAUCAGCCACACUGGAACUGGGACACGGUCCAGACUCCUACGGGAGGCAGCAGUGGGGAAUAUUGGACAAUGGGCGCAAGCCUGAUCCAGCCAUACCGCGUGGGUGAAGAAGGCCUUCGGGUUGUAAAGCCCUUUUGUUGGGAAAGAAAAGCAGCAGGUUAAUACCCCGCUGUUCUGACGGUACCCAAAGAAUAAGCACCGGCUAACUUCGUG
rnacentral:rRNA from 1 species